GCUGCUGUGCUGUAGUGGUUAUCACGUCAGUCUUACACACUGAAGGUCUCCAGUUCGAUCCUGGGCAGCAGCA
rnacentral:tRNA from 2 species